rnacentral:ncRNA from 10 species
UACGUUCAUCUCAACACAUUGUUGGGACGCAAGUAGUCUGAGAAAGCAGAUGAAGGAACGGGAA